UUCACUUUUACAUCUUACAUAAAACGACCUACAUUUGAAUUACGUUACGUAUAGUAUUUGUGCUGUAAAAAUAAUAGGUGUCAAAUAUAUGUUUGACAUAAACCUUUCCGACAACAGUGUUUUAAAUUGAAGUACUUAAAUAACUACAAUGGAAAGUUUAAAAGGAUACGUGUGUCUUAUCACAGGUUAACAACGCCGGAGUAUGUAAUGUAAUAGACAGUCUUGCAAAUGUGACACCUGAAGACUAUGACGAGAUUUUCGACACCAAUAUAAAGAGCCACGUUUUCCUGACGCAGCUGGCAAUUCCUUUCAUUAUCAAGGCCAAAGGAAGUAUCAUUAACAACUCGAGCAUUGGUGGGCAACGGGCAAAUUGGCACCGCAUGGAGUAAGAGUUAACUCUAUCAAUCCGGGACUGGUUGCUACCACCAUUUUCAGAUCAAACAUUGGUCCUAAGGAUUCUGACGACUAUACAAAGUUAAUGGAUGCUGAAGCAACCGUGCAUCCACUUGGACGAAUUGGACUUCCGGUUGAUUGCGCACGCGCAGUAGCUUUCCUUGCGUCCAAAGCUGCAAGCUUUACCACCGGUCAGAUAUUUUUCAUUGACGGUGGAAGACAUUGUGUCACUGCGGUUAACGUUGGCAUGCAAUAACAUUACAAAAAUGACAACAAGGGGAACUAAAACAGACAGUCAACCUAGCCUGAAUAAAAAUAACUAUUAAUCAAGGCAGAAACUCAGCGAGCGAACACAUUACAAGACAACAUUUUCAUAUUAUACAGGUAUUUGAGUUAUGGUGGCCAAACAAAUUGGGAUCAACGCCUUGGAACGGUCAGGAAAAUAAAUAAUGUGGGCUUAUUUUAUUCGAAAAUCGUCGUCAAACAUAAUUGUCAUAUUACAAACUAGUGACGUACUUAAUGUAUAAAUGUGACAUUUCAAAUUUCAAAACCAUGAUGAACGCAUACUUCAACGACAUUUCGGCCAACUGGAUGGAUGCCAUUGGACAACUCAUUGUAUUCAACAACAAUAAAUUGAAGAAAAUUCAACAGAGGCGUUAAGAAUGUCCGAUUGUUGAACGAAAAUGUCAAAACCACAACGACACAGAACUGAAAAACAAAUCUUUUGACAAUUUGUUCUGAUCUAUUAAACUAUGAUCAGAAAAAACACUUAAUUCAUUUCAUUCCAGCACUGAUUUGUUAUUUAAGUAUUUUGAAAAACCGUGCAUGGCCUAACGUCUUGGUAUUGCUCAUCCCGAUUUUUAUGGUGAUGUUUGAAAAAAAAUGGUGAAAUUAAAAGUUUUUAGCAGACAGUUAGACAGAUAGACACAAUGCAUUUCUUGGGUCUUAUUUAAACCGUGGAUAUUACAGAAGUAUGUUGAAGAGUACUUGCCUUCUUUUUGGGAGAUGAAUUCGUCAUAACAAAAUAAGAAGUUCUAUAUGUCGUCCUUACAUUACUGAGCUGACAGUGCUUUGAUUUUAUUAAAAUUAUGCAGAUUCGUGUUAUCAUUAAAACCGCUUUUGGUUUGCUAGGAAUGUUCCAGCGUGUGACGUCUCUUUCUGGUAAUCACUUGGUAGAAGAUUUUAGCAAAUACGUGUUUUGAUUUUAGUUUUAUUAAUUUAAUGUUUACUUUGUUUGUUCCCGGUUUUAGUACAAUGAUGCUAUUCAUUAUGAAACUCUUUGAUCGCACAAGAUUAAACCUUUUGUUUGCUAAGGCAGAUUGUGUGUGAUGUUUAUAGUUUCAAACAAUAAUUGCAUCAUAUCUUUAAGAAUGUUUUUGCAUUAGGUACUCUGUAUUGUAUUCCUGCAGAUUGAGUUAGGAUCAAGUAAUUAGUUUGGGUGCUUAAUCUUUUAAGUACUUGGUGUUUACCUAUUAUUUUAUUAUUAUUUGUUUUAUAAUUAAGUUUCCUCAAAUUAAUGAAUACUUUGAUAUGAUUUAACAUUUACCUUUUCACUUUAUUCGGGAUUGAGAGUAAGGUUGUGCUAACAAAUUGGUUUAAACCCCCUGUUAAUUAACACUUUUUACUUCCAAGGCGAUACCUAAUAAUCCUUCAUAAACACACCUAGAUUUGUAUAUAUAUAUGUACUGUAUUGUUUGUGGAGUUAAGUGUUGAUACAUUUUGUUUUUGGUUU